GCUCCUAUGGUCUAAGGUGAAGACAUUGGGUGGAUGUGAAUCUCUGAGCAACUCCUGAUCCAGAAACGUGAGUUCAAAUCUCACUGGGAGCA